AACGAACGCUGGCGGCAUGCCUAACACAUGCAAGUCGAACGAGACCUUCGGGUCUAGUGGCGCACGGGUGCGUAACGCGUGGGAACCUGCCCUUAGGUUCGGAAUAACUCCCCGAAAGGGGUGCUAAUACCGGAUAAUGUCUUCGGACCAAAGAUUUAUCGCCUUUGGAUGGGCCCGCGUGGGAUUAGCUAGUUGGUAGGGUAAAAGCCUACCAAGGCGACGAUCCAUAGCUGGUCUGAGAGGAUGAUCAGCCACACUGGGACUGAGACACGGCCCAGACUCCUACGGGAGGCAGCAGUGGGGAAUAUUGGACAAUGGGCGAAAGUCUGAUCCAGCAAUGCCGCGUGAGUGAUGAAGGCCUUAGGGUUGUAAAGCUCUUUUACCCGGGAUGAUAAUGACAGUACCGGGAGAAUAAGCUCCGGCUAACUCCGUG
rnacentral:rRNA from 1 species